AUUGAACGCUGGCGGCAUGCCUUACACAUGCAAGUCGAACGGUAGCAGGUCUUCGGAUGCUGACGAGUGGCGAACGGGUGAGUAAUACAUCGGAACGUGCUUAGUAGUGGGGGAUAACUACUCGAAAGAGUGGCUAAUACCGCAUGAGAUCUACGGAUGAAAGCAGGGGAUCGCAAGACCUUGUGCUACUAGAGCGGCCGAUGGCAGAUUAGGUAGUUGGUGGGAUAAAAGCUUACCAAGCCGACGAUCUGUAGCUGGUCUGAGAGGACGAUCAGCCACACUGGGACUGAGACACGGCCCAGACUCCUACGGGAGGCAGCAGUGGGGAAUUUUGGACAAUGGGCGCAAGCCUGAUCCAGCAAUGCCGCGUGCAGGAUGAAGGCCUUCGGGUUGUAAACUGCUUUUGUACGGAACGAAAAGCCCUGGGUUAAUACCCUGGGGUCAUGACGGUGCCGUAAGAAUAAGCACCGGCUAACUACGUGCCAGCCGCCGCGGUAAAAC
rnacentral:rRNA from 1 species